GGCUGCUUUCUUUUUGUAUUGAGGUAGACUAAGUAAAGUGUUGGUACUGGAUCGGAGGUUAUAGGAAGUGGGAACAGCUGGGGAAAGCAUUUUGUUCAGGUAGGAUGGGAGCUUCCCAGAAAAACUCUUAAACACAAGGUUGGAAAGAUGAAGGGUGUGUCUGGAUUCCAGCGACAGCCAGUUUAGUUCUUUUAGCAUGUCACAAUGGUGAGCCCUGUAAUUACAUUGUAGCACAAAUCAGCAGAACGAGUUAUACAAUGUGUUGAGUUUAUUAAUGUGGGAUAGCGAUGCAGGUGCAUAUACUACAUCCCCAUAAUCAAUGAUUGGCAUCAGCAUUUGCUAUACAAUCUUUUCCUUUACUGUAGGGCUUAGGCAGG